CAAUUAUAUGUGGAGGACAGACAAGCAGCAUCCACUCCAUUACUGUGACAAUCUACAAAUGGGAAGUUUAAAGUUCAAACAUUUUUCCCAGAGGAAGUACAGUAGGAAACAGAGAAAGACAAAAAAAAUCCCCAUCGAAUCCAAUCACUUAGCAAGCCAUUAGGAGUACAACUACACAUUAUUCAGAUAUAAGCCAACACUCCCAACUCCAAGAAACAAAAAUAACAUUGAAUUGCAAAGUAGUCAACAAUGGCAAGAAACAGAGAAAAAAAACAUUAAAAGUUCUCAGUUUCUUACCACAUCGCCUCGAGAAAUUCCAAGUUUCGCAAGAGAAGAAGCAAGUCUGGUGCAUCGUUCAAGUGUCUCUUUCCAAGUGUAAACGAUGUUUCCAUACACAACAGAUGGUCUGUCCCUGUAGACUAUGGUUGAGCGCUCGAAGAGCUGAUAGGAGAAAGAGGAACAUAGUUGGCCGCACACUUAAUUCCACCCUCCAUCAACGGCACAAUGGCAGCACAACAACCUAAGUAUAACGUGUCUAUCUGAAAAUUUGGUCCUCCAGGAAUCUAGACUUGUAUAAGGAUCAAGGCUCAAUCGCGGAAACUUUCCAACUCUUCACUAUAAGUCUAGCCAGAAUAGAAUAGCUGCACAAAGAGCAAUACCAGGAAAGAAACUAACACAGGUUUAAGGUAUGUGUAAUAGUAAAAACUAAGAAGAAUGUCUAUACUAUGCUAAAGGGUCAAGUCAUUGCCAAAAGAAUCUAUAGAUUUUCCAAUUCGUAUACUGCUUUAAACAUUAGAAUCAUCAAAUUGAAAAUGGCAAUUGUACGUGUCCAUCACCAUCGGUAUAUAUGCAGACAAGAGUAAGCUAACGACUCGAAAACAAUAAUUAAACAAAAUGGAAGCUAAAGAAGCACUCACCUCGUCGAAUUCUCACACGAAAUCGAGCCCAGAGUGCGAUUCGAUCAUCAGCGAUUCAACCAAACACAAUCUCAAGGAAUUCAGUUUCUUACCCUCAUAAAUCCUGGGGCUCCACGUGGUCCUUAUUCUUCACCGUCAUCCCCAUCUACAUUGCCGCCGCCGUCACACUCAACCUCAUCCUCACCCUCUUCCGCCGCCGCCAUCCGGUCCCCCUCGGCCCAAUCCCGGCAGCGCAUAGCCUCCUGAUGGGUAGUUGCUAGGCCGGAGAUUGAAGUCGCUUCGCGUCGCUCCACCGCUCGCUCCGUCGCUCCGGCGGUAGCCUUUCCAUCGCCUUGCCUGGGUUUGAAGCUGCGGAGCUUUUCUCCUUCGCUCCGCCCAAAGGCACACACCGGCGACGCCUCGGCGUCGCAUCUGAAAACACUGGUGUAAUCAUCAUCGAAAUUCCCUUGUUUAGCCACUAAUUUGAGUUAGAAGAUUAGCUUAGGAGAAGAGAAAUUGAAGAGGAAUCGACUGAAGGACUGAAGCUAGUUUGAUUUCAUCAAAUCACGAAUUUGAAAGAGGUAAAGAUGAUGCAGCAAGUCCCUGGGCUCGUGUAUGAAGACAAGGAACUGGAAGUUUGACAAGGAUUAAGCUUGGGUGUCCAAAUCAGUUAUGUGUUUAAGAAGAACUCUAGUUUUGGGAGCUUGAUAUUGGGCAGCAGGACAGUGAAGGACUUGUAUGAGUUUGAGUUGUAGAACAAAUGAGGAGAAUGAGUUUGAAUACAGUCAUCUUCUUGGAAAUUACCAAAGGUUCCUUGCAGGUUUCUGGACUUAUUUCACGGCUUAGGAUACGAGAAGUUAGGAGUACAUUUCAUUUGAAUUCAUUAUGUUUAGUAUAGUCCCUUGUAUAUUAUUCCUUAUUGAUGUUUGUACAUUAAACCUCUUAUUUCGAAGUUGAAGCAUCAAGAGCACUGCUAGAUGCUGAAAUAUCAGCUAUUGAGGCCGAGCAGGCUGCUCAACUCCAAGAAGUUCAAAAUGCUAUCCCCCACCUACAAAACCUCAAAAAUCAAGUGGAAAAGGCUGAAGCUGAAGAGAGGAAGAUGUAAAACCUCACUCACCAUAAGACCAUUGCUAUAGAUAAAUU